CCUCUAUGUUACAUUAAAAAACGUUAGUCACUUUUCAAAAAGUUGACAGAUUUAAAUUUAAAAAAUUUAAUAUUCGUGAUGGGAGAGCAGCUAAGAAAUCUUGUUUUAUUUCAUAUGCUUCAGCCAUAACUAAAAUCAAAUUACAAGACGUUCAGCUCUAUAAAUAAAUCAUUUAUUGAAGUGCUUAGUGUUUCAAAAUCUAGUUGUAAAGUUUCGGGGUUAGCAUUAUAUCAAAAGUGAUAGACAUAUGUUGUACGUAUUUUAUGAAUAUACAUAUAACUGCGGCAACCACAAGAAAAUGCCUCAGAUGGAUAGAUGCACGGAUGGAUUUCAUUACACUAAUGUACUGGGUAAAUUGCCUUUUUAAUCAAGUGUAUUCAGCAAUUCAGAAGAAUCAAUUUGAGCAUAAAGUAUUUAUCAAUUUAUUGUGUAAGCUAUUCGAAAUAAAAGCAUAAAAAUACAUAUUUGAUUAUAAAAAUAAUAGAUGUACGAAGCUUAAUUUAAUGGACGG
rnacentral:sRNA from 1 species